GGAAGGAUCAUUAACGAAUUCGUCGAGUGGGCGUCAGCCCACUCGGUAUCAGCUCCGAGCGCGACUGCCGCAAGGCAGUGGUGCUCGUGACAAGUGCAGCAGCACGAGUAUGAGGUUGGAGAGCAUAACAUCAUAACGAUAACAACUUUUAACAACGGAUCUCUGGGCUCUUGCAACGAUGAAGAACGCAGCAAAGUGCGAAACGUAAUGCGAUCCGCACCACCUGUGAGUCAUCGAGUCUUUGAACGCACAUGGCACUCGCGGCCUCGGCGGCGAGUAUACCUGUUUGAGCAUCGUGCCUAGUGUACAUUGUGAUUUGACGGUCUUCUUUGAAGUUCGUCUAAAUGGAUGUGGGGCGGGUGUGUGGGGUUGUUGCCCCGUGUGGUACGGACGCCUCGUCCACAGCAUGGAGUGACGACCAUCACACACUCAAACCCCUCCUCAAUUAAUCGAUCUCAAAUCAGGCAAGGCUACCCGCUGAACUUAAGCAUAUCAGUAAGCGGAGGAACAGAAACUAACAAGGAUUCCCCCAGUAACGGCGAGUGAAGCGGGAAGAGCUCAAAUUUGGAAUCUAAUGCCACACUGGCAUUCGGGUUGUAGUCUAGAGACGCGGAGCUGCAGGUGGAGGUGGCUGGUCAGGUCCGCUGGAACGCGGCACCGGAGAGGGUGAGAGUCCCGUGGACCAACUCCCCCCACCGUCAUGGCUUCGCGUCAAAGAGUCGGGUUGUUUGGGAAUGCAGCCCAAAGUGGGUGGUAAACUCCAUCCAAAGCUAAAUACAGGCAAGAGACCGAUAGCAAACAAGUACCGUGAGGGAAAGAUGAAAAGCACCUUGGAAAGGGAGUGAAAAGCACGUGAAAUUGUUAAAAGGGAAGCGCGCGGCGUUAGUGUGGUCUGGGAGAGUUGCGGAGGCGGGAAACGGGCUGGAGGGAGGUGGUCAAAUUUUGGCUUUAUAACCUCUAACCCCCACCAUCUUAACAACCCCCCCAGACAAAAUGACGCCGCUCGUCCCGUCUUGAAACACGGACCAAGGAGUCUAACGUGAGCGCGAGUGUUUGGGCGGCAAACCCGGACGCGGAACGAAAGUGUGGCUCGUGGGAACGAGAGGUACCAUACCCCUCGUGCACCACCGACCGGUCUACUCACCAGUGUCCGAGUCGCAGCGCUCACGCUAGGACCCGAAAGACGGUGAACUAUGCCUGGGGAGGGCGAAGCCAGAGGAAACUCUGGUGGAGGCUCGCAGACGUUCUGACGUGCAAAUCGAUGUUCGGACCUGGGUAUAGGGGCGAAAGACUAAUCGAACCGUCUGGUAGCUGGUUCCUUC
rnacentral:misc_RNA from 1 species